GAUGAACGCUGGCGGCGUGCUUAACACAUGCAAGUCGAACGGUGAAGCCAAGCUUGCUUGGUGGAUCAGUGGCGAACGGGUGAGUAACACGUGAGCAACCUGCCCUGGACUCUGGGAUAAGCGCUGGAAACGGCGUCUAAUACUGGAUAUGAGACGUGAUCGCAUGGUCGUGUUUGGAAAGAUUUUUCGGUCUGGGAUGGGCUCGCGGCCUAUCAGCUUGUUGGUGAGGUAAUGGCUCACCAAGGCGUCGACGGGUAGCCGGCCUGAGAGGGUGACCGGCCACACUGGGACUGAGACACGGCCCAGACUCCUACGGGAGGCAGCAGUGGGGAAUAUUGCACAAUGGGCGAAAGCCUGAUGCAGCAACGCCGCGUGAGGGAUGACGGCCUUCGGGUUGUAAACCUCUUUUAGCAGGGAAGAAGCGAAAGUGACGGUACCUGCAGAAAAAGCGCCGGCUAACUACGUGCCAGCCGCCGCAGUAACAC
rnacentral:rRNA from 1 species